UCCCUGGUGGCUCAGAGGGUAAAGCAUCUGCCUCCAAUGCGGGAGACCUGGGUUCGAUCCCUGGGUCGGGAA
rnacentral:tRNA from 1 species